rnacentral:rRNA from 1 species
UACGGAGGGUGCAAGCGUUAUCCGGAUUCACUGGGCUUAAAGGGUGCGUAGGUGGUUUGGUAAGUCAGUGGUGAAAUCUCCGAGCUUAACUUGGAAACUGCCAUUGAUACUAUCAGUCUUGAAUAUUGUGGAGGUCAGCGGAAUAUGUCAUGUAGCGGUGAAAUGCUUAGAUAUGACAUAGAACACCAAUUGCGAAGGCAGCUGGCUACACAUAUAUUGACACUGAGGCACGAAAGCGUGGGGAUCAAACAGG